rnacentral:rRNA from 1 species
CCUACGGGAGGCAGCAGUGGGGAAUAUUGCACAAUGGGCGCAAGCCUGAUGCAGCCAUGCCGCGUGUGUGAAGAAGGCCUUCGGGUUGUAAAGCACUUUCAGCGGGGAGGAAGGCGUUAAGGUUAAUAACCUUGUCGAUUGACGUUACCCGCAGAAGAAGCACCGGCUAACUCCGUACCAGCAGCCGCGGUAAUACGGAGGGUGCAAGCGUUAAUCGGAAUUACUGGGCGUAAAGCGCACGCAGGCGGUCUGUCAAGUCGGAUGUGAAAUCCCCGGGCUCAACCUGGGAACUGCAUUCGAAACUGGCAGGCUAGAGUCUUGUAGAGGGGGGUAGAAUUCCAGGUGUAGCGGUGAAAUGCGUAGAGAUCUGGAGGAAUACCGGUGGUGAAGGCGGCCCCCUGGACAAAGACUGACGCUCAGGUGCGAAAGCGUGGGGAGCAAACAGGAUUAGAUACCCCAGUAGUC